UUUGGAUUUGUAUAGGAAAAUCCACGGAAGACGCCUUGAUCCAUGGAAGCAAGGAUUUGCUCAGGUACAGGAGACAAUCGAGGUCUCUCAGCAGUGAACGCAGUGUCGAAAUAUUUGGUGUCCAAGGUAUGGUCCAAAGCUGGCUUGAAAGGUGGUUCAAGUUGCCUCCUUUCCAAUCUGUCCCACGAUCUUCGAUGGAUAAAUGUUUAUUCCAAUAAAAAUAACAUCGUAUAAUUAAUUACUUGGAAGAAGGAGUGCAACGCUAUCUCGUGGCCGGGAAGUCUUUUCCCAGAAUCCUUUUCCAGAAGGGCGAUCAAUAUGUCGGUCGAAUCUUGGCUCAGACGAGAAUGAUCUCUCUAGAGAUGGAUGGUAUUUUUAGUCAACGUUUCAGCAUCCUUUGGUUACCUCGGGGGCCAUGUAAUCAGGCGUGCCACAGAAUGUAUCUGCGGUUCUGUCGAGGAAAAUUUGUAGCUUGCACAUGCCAAAAUCGGCUAUUCUGAUAUGCCCCUCAUAAUCUAGCAGCACGUUGUCCAAUUUCAAGUCUCUGUACACUAUCCCUUUCUUGUGCAAGAAGUUCAAGCCUGACCAGAUUUCCGCCGCGUAAAAUCGGGCCCUUGGCUCGGGGAAACGACCCGACUUUUGAAUGUGGAACAUCAAGUCGCCGCCGUUCAGGUACUCCAUCACGAAGAACAAGUGGGAAUCCGUCUGGAAGGUGCAGAACAGGUGGCAGAGGGCGACGGUGUCUUCCGAAAAGUGAGGCAAGGUUCUGUUACCAGAUGGAAAUUCAGGUCUGAUAGAGUAAAAAUGGCACACGGUGGAAAGUUCACGCGUUCUAAAGCGAGAGUACGCACGUGAGAGAACUGCUGACAUGUUAAAAAUAAUGCGUUACGUGCUGCUAAUUCGAAUGUUCCAAGAAGUAUGAAUUUAUAGAGCUGCUUUUUACCAGACAUGCUACAUAUUUCUGCAUUGUGACCGCAUUGGAUCUUGGAAAAAAAAAAAACUCGAAAAACGUUUACACCUGGAUUAUUUCGCGAGGAUGUCUCGUGACUCUCGUGUUCACACGCGAUAUACUUGGAUUAAUUCUGAGCUGAGCCAAACAAGAUUUUCGAGAAUUGCAUGAAAAGGAAAAGAGAAGAAACCUGCAUCCAAAAUUAAAAUCGUUAAAUUUAAAAUUCUCUUAAAAUUAUUAUUUACAAUUUCAAUAUUUUUAAUAACCCAAGGAAUAAGGAUAAUUUUUCUUUUCCACCGAGAUAUAUUUUCAAUAUAAUUACCGGAAGUGUUGUACGAAAUAAAAACAUUUCUUGUUGCUUCAAAUAAAUUUAUAUGCAAAGAUGAUUUUGCCGAUAGGGUAAAGAUUACUCGAUCCGUGCUUUUCAUCAUCUUAUACGGCGGAUAAUAAUUUGAACAUUUCAUCAGCGAAAUUUCCAACCUGAGAUCUUGGCAUACAUUCGAAAGUCGCACGUGUCACGGUGAGCACACUCAUCGCGGCUAAAUAUCGUUCACAAUGAUCGGCAAUCUUGCGCAGCGAGAGGAGGAGGACUCACUUUUAAAAAGUUAAAGUCUGUCACGUUGUAUUUUUUGAACCUAGGCAGGUUUGUGGCCGGCGGGGUGAUCCUUCCACUGGGGAAAUGAUCUGAAGAGUCUGAAUUCCUCUGGUUGUCCGACGACUGUGAAGGUGCUGUGAGAUAAAAAAAGUUUACAGAAGAGAAGAAAGCCAAGAAAUGUUCUCAAAUUUCAAUUAAUAAGCGCAUUAAUUGCUACGAUCCUGGCACGUGAAUAUAUCAGAUGUUGGCAUUUCUUCGAAAAUAGAGCUGGCCGUCCUAUGACGUGUGCAAAAUUUUGAGGAAACGUGACACGAGUGAUCGAUCAGGAGAGAGACAGUUAGAGAGAAGAGAUUGUAACAGUUGGAGCGAAAAUGGAUUUAUAACAGCCACGUGGAAGUCGUAGAUGAAUGUACUUCCUGGUCAAGCCAAGUCUGACUCUAUGGGCCAAGAUCAAAUCAAUUCGAGGGGGAAGGGGGAGGGAAAAAAAAAUCAAGAUUGGGGAGAGAUGCUAAAAUAAUUUCGUUCAAAAAAAAAAAAAAAAAGGUACAUUAAAUAUCUGUCAAAGAAAAACUUGAAAAUUAUCCCUUUACAGAUGAUUCCCAAUGACCAGAUCGAUUAUGGAAAUAACUCACCUCUCUUGAGGGACUGCAAGGCUUCCGCCACAAGCUUUUGAUUCAAUCCGCAAAGAUUUCCAGUCAGUUUCUCGCAUUUCUUGUGGCAGGCCAUGUCGCAAUCUAUUUUCAAAUGUUUUUCGAAUCUUAUUCGUUUGAUUUUUCACGACUGAUGCCUGAUGAUGCACCUUGUUACGUACGGAGAAAAAAAAAAAAAGAAGUUUUUCUUAGCUUAAGAAAAGAAACAACAACACUCUUGCGCUCGACGUUCCUUCUCUACUGAUACCCGAUCAACCCAUCAUCAUCAUCAUCCAUCUAAAUUUAUUUCGAAACUUAUGUUUGCAGCAUCAACUAAGAACGGCUGUAUUAUGAAGCCUAGAAUAUUGUUAUGAAACCAACGCUACGUCUUCAUGAAUAAGGUCACGGUGUGCACGAUUUAUUUACAUUAAACCAAGAUUAUUAGUCGAUUAAAUUAAUUGCAAUGAAAAAAAAAAUUAAUUAAUAUCAUUCAUAUUGAUAAAUAUGGAGACAAGGGAGGAUGAUAAUUGAAAUCCAAUGAUAAUGAAAGUACAUCCUGUAAACAAAACACGACCAACAAGUGUCGUUGACUUCGUGACAAUGAUCUUACUCGUAUAACGUCGAACGACUGGCUUCAGGUUUGCGACAGAAGCACGUGGUACCGGUUGAAUCAGAGAAUGUGUCUGGAUGUAGAACGAUUACGUAAGCAGAUUAUUUUCUGCUAUUUCCGACAGAAGCCUAAAUGCAAGACUUUGUAUCUUUCUAGAAUUUCAUGCAGAAAAUAACAGAUAUAGCAAAGAUUUCCUGGCCUUCAGAUUUCGGUUAAACAGAAAGAGCAAACUCAGACAAAGCAAACUCGGAUAAAG